rnacentral:rRNA from 1 species
AGCUUGUUGGUGAGGUAAAGGCUCACCAAGGCGACGAUCCGUAGCUGGUCUGAGAGGACGACCAGCCACACUGGAACUGAGACACGGUCCAGACUCCUACGGGAGGCAGCAGUGGGGAAUUUUGGACAAUGGGGGCAACCCUGAUCCAGCCAUUCCGCGUGAGUGAAGAAGGCCUUCGGGUUGUAAAGCUCUUUCAGCAGGAACGAAACGGUGGCCCCUAAUACGGGCUACUAAUGACGGUACCUGAAGAAGAAGCACCGGCUAACUACGUGCCAGCAGCCGCGGUAAUACGUAGGGUGCGAGCGUUAAUCGGAAUUACUGGGCGUAAAGCGCGCGCAGGCGGUUCUAUAAGACAGAUGUGAAAUCCCCGGGCUUAACCUGGGAACUGCGUUUGUGACUGUAGGACUCGAGUGUGGCAGGGGGGGGGUGGAAUUCCACGUGUAGCAGUGAAAUGCGUAGAGAUGUGGAGGAACACCGAUGGCGAAGGCAGCCCCCUGGGUCAACACUGACGCUCAUGCACGAAAGCGUGGGGAUCAAACAGGAUUAGAUACCCUGGUAGUCCACGCCCUAAACGAUGCGAACUAGGUGUUGGGGAAGGAGACUUUCUUAGUACCGCAGCUAACGCGUGAAGUUCGCCGCCUGGGGAGUACGGUCGCAAGAUUAAAACUCAAAGGAAUUGACGGGGACCCGCACAAGCGGUGGAUGAUGUGGAUUAAUUCGAUGCAACGCGAAAAACCUUACCUACCCUUGACAUGUCAGGAAUCCUGCUGAGAGGUGGGAGUGCCCGAAAGGGAACCUGAACACAGGUGCUGCAUGGCUGUCGUCAGCUCGUGUCGUGAGAUGUUGGGUUAAGUCCCGCAACGAGCGCAACCCUUGUCAUUAAUUGCCAUCAUUCAGUUGGGCACUUUAAUGAGACUGCCGGUGACAAACCGGAGGAAGGUGGGGAUGACGUCAAGUCCUCAUGGCCCUUAUGGGUAGGGCUUCACACGUCAUACAAUGGUCGGUACAGAGGGUCGCCGACCCGCGAGGGGGAGCCAAUCCCACAAAGCCGAUCGUAGUCCGGAUCGCAGUCUGCAACUCGACUGCGUGAAGUCGGAAUCGCUAGUAAUCGUGGAUCAGCAUGUCACGUUGAAUACGUUCCCGGGUCUUGUACACACCGCCCGUCACACCAUGGGAGUGGGUUCCACCAGAAGUAGGUAGUCUAACCGCAAGGGGGGCGCUUACCACGGUGGGAUUCAUGACUGGGGUGAAGUCGAAACAAGGUA